rnacentral:lncRNA from 1 species
UGUUGAUCAAAACACUCUCAACACUGACUCCUGAGAGCCAACUUCAAGUUUCUUUGGAAUAGACUUCAAGGGACUAUUCUAUAUUAGAGUGGAUCAAUGAAUUGGGUACACAAGUAAAACAAAACAAAACCAAGAAACUAGAAAAAACUCUCCAAUUAAUCACCAAAUUAGAAAUCCUGAAAAUCAAGGAGAGAUGAAUAAAAUAAAAAGUAUCCAUCCAGCCAAUGGGGGACGGAACAGAAGGUGCUAUUAUUGCAAUAAGUCUGAACAUGUAUAGAGGGACUGCUAUGAACUGCAGCAAAAGUAACAAAUCUACACAUCAGCUUUCCAAGGUGACAAGAUUCAUGUCGUCUCCCUCUUCUCUCCGGGAGCUAAGAAGCAACUCCACUGGGUUUGGUAUGUAUUUAUUUAUUUAUUUAACCCUUACCUUCUGUCUCAGAAUCAAUACUAUGUAUUGAUUCCAAGGCAGAAGAGUGGUAAGGGCUAGGCAAUGGGGGUCAAAUGACUUGCCCAGGGUCACACAGCUGGGAAGUGUCUAAGGUCAAAUUUGAACCCAGGAUCUCCUGUCUCUAGGUACGGCUCUCAAUCCACUGAGCCACCUAACUGCCCCCUUUUGCAUGUAUUUUGAUGUAGUUUCUUCAGGUAAUUAUUAUCUCGUUUGUUUUACAGAUGGAGGAACUGAGACAGGCUGAUUCCGAGAUUCACCGAGGGUCAUACAGCUACUGCCCAAGAUAGGAUACAAAGUUGGGACUCUUGACUUGAAGUCUAAGGCUUUUUCCUUAUCUCUUAAA